rnacentral:rRNA from 1 species
GAGUUUGAUCUUGGCUCAGGAUAAACGCUGGCGGCGCACAUAAGACAUGCAAGUCGAACGGACAGAAUCCGAAUGUUUCAUUUGGAGGAUGUUAGUGGCGGACUGGUGAGUAACGCGUGAGGAACCUGCCCUGGAGUGGGGAAUAACAGUUAGAAAUGACUGCUAAUACCGCAUGAUGCAGUUGAGUCGCAUGGCUCUGACUGCCAAAGAUUUAUCGCUCUGGGAUGGACUCGCGUCUGAUUAGCUAGUAGGCGGGGUAACGGCCCACCUAGGCGACGAUCAGUAGCCGGACUGAGAGGUUGGCCGGCCACAUUGGGACUGAGACACGGCCCAGACUCCUACGGGAGGCAGCAGUGGGGAAUAUUGGGCAAUGGGCGCAAGCCUGACCCAGCAACGCCGCGUGAAGGAAGAAGGCUUUCGGGUUGUAAACUUC